UGCGCUUGGAUAGCUCGGUUGGUUAGAGCGCGGUGCUGUCAACGCCGAGGUUGCAGGUUCGAUCCCCGUACGAACUUCCUGCAA